CCUACGGGUGGCAGCAGUGGGGAAUAUUGCACAAUGGGGGAAACCCUGAAGCAGCGACGCCGCGUGAGUGAAGAAGUAUUUCGGUAUGUAAAGCUCUAUCAGCAGGGAAGAAGAAAGACGGUACCUGAAUAAGAAGCCCCUGCUAAAUACGGGCCAGUCGCCGCGGUAAUACGUAGGGGGCACGCGUUAUCCGGAUUUACUGGGUGUAAAGGGAGCGUAGACGGUUGUGCAAGUCUGAAGUGAAAGCCCAGGGCUCAACCCUGGGACUGCUUUGGAAACCGUGGAGCUAGAGUGCGGGAGAGGUAAGUGGAAUGCCUGGUGUAGCGGUGAAAUGCGUAGAUAUUAGGAGGAACACCAGUGGCGAAGGCGGCUUACUGGAGAGUAACUGACGUUGAUGCUCGAAAGCGUGGGGAGCAAACAGGAUUAGAUACCCCGGUAGUC
rnacentral:rRNA from 1 species